UUAAUAUUACAAUCCUUAGGGAUCAAAGUGAAUACUCUUACUCUAUCCAUUCAAAAGCCUAAUAUCUCUCGGAGACUUGCUCUCUUAAUCGCCGCCGGAGGUCGACACCCGCCGGAUUUCCGGACGUUUUCUCCGGCUAACUCUAUUGCGUCCAUCCAAGACUCACUUCAUCAUCGCCGACUUAGUUAGACACCACAGGAAUAGAUAGUCUACAGAAUUCGCUCCAGCAUACCUCUGGCAAUUCUCUACCCAAACGUUGUUGCCGUUUUAUCAAGUUUCUCCGAGUUUUCAACGUCUACUGUUCAAAUUCCGGGGUAGAAAAUGGAUAUUGAAGUUGAUCAUUAUGCUGCUUUGGGUUUACCCUCUGGUGAGGAAGGGUCCCAACUUUCUGAGAAAGACAUAUCUAAAGCCUAUAAGAAGAAAGCAUUAGAGUUGCAUCCAGACAAGAGGCGUGAUGACCCAAAUGCUCACUUGAACUUUCAAAAGCUGAAAACUUCAUACGAGAUUCUAAAGGACGAGAAAGCGAGGAAGCUAUUUGAUGAUCUACUUCGUGUGAAACGUGAGAAGAUCCAACGCCAAUCACAACACGAUUCAAAGCGUAGAAAGAUGAUGUCAGAUCUCGAUGCAAGAGAGCGUGCAGCUUUUUCACCUGAUGCAAGUGUUCUAGCUCGAGAAGAGGAAGAACGAAUUGCUAGAAAACUUAAGGAGGAGAUUGCUCGAAUUCGUGCAAUGCAUUCAAAGAAAGUGUUUACUCCUAUAGAUCCUUCACAGAAAGAGGCACAUGCUAGAGCUAAGGAGAGUUGUACAGAAGGCAAUGGGAGUAGUGUAGACAGGGAAAAGGUGCUUAAGGUAUCUUGGGAGAAGAUCGGUGAAGACUAUACUGCCCAAAGACUAAGAGAGGUGUUUAGUGAGUUUGGUGAGGUUGAAGAUGUAGUAAUCAAGAGUUCUAAGAAGAAAGGGUCUGCUCUUGUUGUCAUGUCAUCUAAAGAAGCAGCUAGAGCUUCUUGUGGAAAUGUCUUGGGGGAUCUAUCAAAUCCUCUCUUAAUUGUGCCUCUCCAGCCUCCAAUGCCCUCUCCGUUUCCUAACGCUGAGAAAAAUGGAGAAUCUGAGGGCCCGAGUUUGAGUAAUCUUGUAGGUGCUGGAUACCAGAAAUUUGAAGACUCAGUAUUGGAAAAAAUGAUGAAGGCUGCUCAAAGGAAGAAAUAGCAUGCAGAAGCUCCAUUCUGUUCAAGUGCUGAGAUGAUGGCAUGUCUAGAUUGUCACAGAUAAAGAAGAAAGACAGAAUUUAAUACAGGUUUGUUGUCUGACGCGUAUUUCUGGCACAAGAUAGGGCUCAGGAGAGAUUCAUCUAAAUUAUGCAAUGCUGGUAUUCUGUACACGGUGUUUGCAAUACGAAUCACUUAGUGUGCCAUGGAUACAUGAAUAUUUUUCAGAAAAGUUGCAAUAUGCCAAGACGAUGGAUACAUACUAAAGUGGGGUGUUUAAGUCAUCGUUGUAUUUUAUAUUAUUCUUUUGGAUUCUGUUAUGUGUUUAUCGGUGUUAUGUGAUUCAUCACUACGCUAGCGAUAUGACUCUCUGAGGUUUACUGCGUUAAGUCCUUUUGUAGCCUCAAAGUCUUGUAUUGAGGUCACUGAAGCACAUAUAUCUUUUCAAUUAGAAUAGAGGAAUCCUUUCUGCACGCUA